rnacentral:rRNA from 1 species
CCUACGAGUGGCAGCAGUGGGGAAUAUUGCACAAUGGUGGAAACACUGAUGCCGCGACGCCGCGUGAGUGAAGAAGUAUUACGGUAUGUAAAGCUCUAUCUGCCGGGAAGAAAAUGACGGUACAUGAUUAAGGAGCCCAGGCUAACUACGUGCCAGCAGCCGCGGUACUACGUAGGCGGCAAGCGUUAUCCGGAUUUACUGGGUGUAAAGGGAGCGGAGACGGCAGUACAAGUCGGGAGGGAAAUGCCGGGGCUUAACACCGGAACUGCUUUGGAAACUGUGCAGCUAGAGUGCAGGAGAGGUAAGUGGAAUUCCUAGUGUAGCGGUGAAAUGCGUAGAUAUUAGGAGGAACACCAGUGGCGAAGGCGGCUUAAUGGACUGUAACUGACGUUGAGGCUCGAAAGCGUGGGGAGCAAACAGGAUUAGAUACCCUGGUAGUC